UGGACCUCUUAAUAAUUAGGCGGGUAUGAGCCGGUGCCCAAAUUAUCCUUCAAAUCCAAAUUCUCAACCCAAUUCAAGCCUGACCCAAAAAAACAGAAACGAUUAUAUCUCGUCAGCAAUACAACUUUGACCCUUUCGGCCUUUUCUCCGUCGUUGGGUUGAGACGUUGGGACUAUGCGGAAUGUGGAUAGUAAACCAGAGACAAUACUGGAGCCGGAGGGGACGACUGGGGAGAUCCAAACGCAUCAGUUUACGUUAGCCGCUGCAUCCAUAUGCUGCUUAGCUGCUUCAAGAUUAAUAGCACAGCCCAUGUACGCCUGCCUGCCUCUUUGUCUACUCGAUGUUUUACGACUUAAUAUUCAACUAGUUUCCAAAUGUUUGCGGCCCCUACUGUCAUACCAGUUUCUUUUUUUUCUUUUUUUCUUGGUGGCAAUGGUCUUAAUCUUUUCAACAUUUAUGGAAAUAGCACCUGACGGCCAUUUAAGCUUCCUUCGAGCUUCAAUUGUGGCCAAACUGAAUUGCAAGGACUCCAAAGUAGCCAUUUCUUCCCCAACUGCACAGGUGAAUUUUUAAGAUUAUAGAUUUUACCUGAAGAAGUCAAUGAUGAAUCGGAUGAAGUGUAAAAUGGAUACAGUUCAUAUCGGACAGUACAAGCCGCCAGCAGAGCUCUUGCCCCUCCGGCUCGGUUACAACACGUCGGAAAAGUUCCGAUGGCAUUUUUCAGGCAAGUCUCACACUGAGCCGACUGUAUUUCCACCGUGCAUUGCGAUAGCCCAUACACAGUCUGGUUGCUGCCAAGCUUUGCUUCGCCGGUGGCAAACUUCUCUGCUGUCUGAGAAUUCGCUGCUUCUUUUGCUAUAUUAUUCAACAAGCUGAACAACGUUCGAUUGAAUGCAUUCAAAUCGUUGCCGGAGAUGUUCCUCCCGUCAACCAAGUUCCUCCCAGAUGAUGGCCUCCGUCUGGUUAGGGCAACGCUGCGUGAUCGCGGUGGCUGCGGUGGUGACACACUGUUGACAACUGCUGAUGCUAAGGUCUGCCCGGCAGUUGAAAAGCCCGUUGACGGCAUCGGGCAAUCCGAAGCCCAUGACGGUGUAAUAUCCCUUUCCCUGGGUGCCGUUGGUGGCGAGGGAAUGAAGGAGAGCAUUGAGAUUGCCACCAAAUCUGCUAUCAGAUGCAUAGGUUCCAUUUUCUGUGCAGUAAUAAUCAAGGUAGGUUGGCGCUGCUAGGCUUUCCAAGCUGAGAAAACCGCUCAGGCAAAUUAGUGUGUAGAAGAUUGCACAGUUUUUAAGGGGAGACGCCAUCUUCGAGGAUUAUUUAUCAGUUACUGUUUUGUCACCAGAUACCUGGUUGCAACAGUGAGAAUGGGUGGAAGAAGAAGAAGAGAGAAGAAGGUCAUGAACGGAUUCCUUUUAUGGGGAUUGUUUUUUCGAAGUUUGACACGGCUAUUUUUCAAGCUUUUUAUGUUGUAGUGGAACAGGUCGUCAUCAGGAAGCAUUGUUUAGCCAUAGGUGAUUGCAUAUCCGCUUUGGUAUUAUUUUUUUCCCACGUGAGUUGAAAAAUGUUGCCAACA